rnacentral:rRNA from 1 species
UACGUAGGUGGCAAGCGUUGUCCGGAUUUACUGGGCGUAAAGGGCGUGCAGGCGGUUUGUUAAGUGCAGGGUGAAAGCUCCCGGCUCAACUGGGAGAGGUCCUUGCAUACUGGCAAACUCGAGGGAGGCAGAGGAAAGUGGAAUUCCCGGUGUAGUGGUGAUAUGCGUAGAUAUCAGGAGGAACACCCAUUGCGAAGGCAGCUCGCUGGGACGUUACUGACGCUGAGACGCGAAAGCGUGGGGAGCAAACAGG